rnacentral:rRNA from 1 species
UGAGCAAUCUGCCCUUCUCAUCGGAAUAAGCGUUGGAAACGACGUCUAAUGCCGAAUACGACCUCCUUUCGCAUGAUCGGAGGUGGAAAGCUCCGGCGGAGAAGGAUGAGCUCGCGGCCUAUCAGCUAGUUGGUGUGGGUAAUGGCCCACCAAGGCGACGACGGGUAGCCGGCCUGAGAUGGUGACCGGCCACACUGGGACUGAGACACGGCCCAGACUCCUAGGGAGG